rfam:Hordeum vulgare subsp. vulgare, WGS project CAJW01000000 data, contig: morex_contig_8979
CAAGUACUCCUUCCGUUCGGAAUUACUUGUCAUGAAAAUGAAUAGAAAUUGAUGUAUCUAGAUGAACUAAAAUACAUCUAGAUACAUCCAUUUCUGCGACAAGUAAUUUGGGACAGAUGGAGUAUAUA